GUAUUGUUAUAAGAUAGACAUAAAAAUGUGCUGAAACCACAAGAAAUCUCGGCACAAACAUGUACCUGAUAAAAGCCACCGAGAAAACAGGAGUUAGAAGCAGGAGAAGAGAAGGAGGGAAGAGAAAAGGCAACUGUAAGAAAGUAGAGCAACUGCCAAGAAGAAGAUGAAUGAUCUGGCUCAAAAUGAGAACAGUUUCAAAGAAGGGCAAAGGGAUAGACUACCCGAUCCAGCUCACAAGAAGUCUGGAGUAGGAGAGAAGAGUGCGGAAGGGAAAUCGGUGUUCCCCUGAGCGAGCAGGAUAAAUGUGAGUAAGUCAAUGGUCACGAAGGAAAACUAAGAGAGUUAACUGUGGGCACGCUGAAACAGGCUGAAUCGCCCACAUCGGGGUCAUCUGGCCUGGGCCGGACAUCACACGCUCAGCAGACGACUUCACAGGUGUGGAAGAAAGGACUGCACCACACCUUCACUCUCACCAUGAAGGUCGAUGAGCGUUGGAGGAGCUAGAGGUGUGCAGUCUGAUCUAGAUGCUACUCGAGGUAUACGUGUAUUGAAGUAUCCUGCGGACCCCUACUCCUGUAACUUUUAUGCUUUUAUAUGUAUCGAUUUAAAAAAUAAAUAGAUUAUACUCCUUAA